rnacentral:rRNA from 1 species
AACGAACGCUGGCGGCAUGCCUAACACAUGCAAGUCGAACGAGACCUUCGGGUCUAGUGGCGCACGGGUGCGUAACGCGUGGGAACCUACCCUUAGGUUCGGAAUAACUCCCCGAGAGGGGUGCUAAUACCGGAUAAUGUCUUCGGACCAAAGAUUUAUCGCCUUGGGGUGGGCCCGCGUUGGAUUAGCUAGUUGGUAGGGUAAAAGCCUACCAAGGCGACGAUCCAUAGCUGGUCGGAGAGGAGGAUCAGCCACACUGGGACUGAGACACGGCCCAGACUCCGACGGGAGGGAGCAGUGUGGAAUACUGGACAAGGGGCGAAAGUCUGAUACAGCAAUGCCGCGUGAGUGAGGAAGGCCUUAGGGUUGUAAAGCUCUUUUACCCGGGAUGAUAAUGACAGUACCGGGAGAAUAAGCACCGGCUAACUCCGUG